GGGUUGUGAGGUUAAGCGACUAAGCGUACACGGUGGAUGCCCUGGCAGUCAGAGGCGAUGAAGGACGUGCUAAUCUGCGAUAAGCGUCGGUAAGGUGAUAUGAACCGUUAUAACCGGCGAUUUCCGAAUGGGGAAACCCAGUGUGUUUCGACACACUAUCAUUAACUGAAUCCAUAGGUUAAUGAGGCGAACCGGGGGAACUGAAACAUCUAAGUACCCCGAGGAAAAGAAAUCAACCGAGAUUCCCCCAGUAGCGGCGAGCGAACGGGGAGCAGCCCAGAGCCUGAAUCAGUGUGUGUGUUAGUGGAAGCGUCUGGAAAGGCGCGCGAUACAGGGUGACAGCCCCGUACACAAAAAUACAUACUGUGAGCUCGAUGAGUAGGGCGGGACACGUGGUAUCCUGUCUGAAUAUGGGGGGACCAUCCUCCAAGGCUAAAUACUCCUGACUGACCGAUAGUGAACCAGUACCGUGAGGGAAAGGCGAAAAGAACCCCGGCGAGGGGAGUGAAAAAGAACCUGAAACCGUGUACGUACAAGCAGUGGGAGCACGCUUAGGCGUGUGACUGCGUACCUUUUGUAUAAUGGGUCAGCGACUUAUAUUCUGUAGCAAGGUUAACCGAAUAGGGGAGCCGAAGGGAAACCGAGUCUUAACUGGGCGUUAAGUUGCAGGGUAUAGACCCGAAACCCGGUGAUCUAGCCAUGGGCAGGUUGAAGGUUGGGUAACACUAACUGGAGGACCGAACCGACUAAUGUUGAAAAAUUAGCGGAUGACUUGUGGCUGGGGGUGAAAGGCCAAUCAAACCGGGAGAUAGCUGGUUCUCCCCGAAAGCUAUUUAGGUAGCGCCUCGUGAAUUCAUCUCCGGGGGUAGAGCACUGUUUCGGCAAGGGGGUCAUCCCGACUUACCAACCCGAUGCAAACUGCGAAUACCGGAGAAUGUUAUCACGGGAGACACACGGCGGGUGCUAACGUCCGUCGUGAAGAGGGAAACAACCCAGACCGCCAGCUAAGGUCCCAAAGUCAUGGUUAAGUGGGAAACGAUGUGGGAAGGCCCAGACAGCCAGGAUGUUGGCUUAGAAGCAGCCAUCAUUUAAAGAAAGCGUAAUAGCUCACUGGUCGAGUCGGCCUGCGCGGAAGAUGUAACGGGGCUAAACCAUGCACCGAAGCUGCGGCAGCGACGCUGAUGCGUUGUUGGGUAGGGGAGCGUUCUGUAAGCCUGUGAAGGUGUGCUGUGAGGCAUGCUGGAGGUAUCAGAAGUGCGAAUGCUGACAUAAGUAACGAUAAAGCGGGUGAAAAGCCCGCUCGCCGGAAGACCAAGGGUUCCUGUCCAACGUUAAUCGGGGCAGGGUGAGUCGACCCCUAAGGCGAGGCCGAAAGGCGUAGUCGAUGGGAAACAGGUUAAUAUUCCUGUACUUGGUGUUACUGCGAAGGGGGGACGGAGAAGGCUAUGUUGGCCGGGCGACGGUUGUCCCGGUUUAAGCGUGUAGGCUGGUUUUCCAGGCAAAUCCGGAAAAUCAAGGCUGAGGCGUGAUGACGAGGCACUACGGUGCUGAAGCAACAAAUGCCCUGCUUCCAGGAAAAGCCUCUAAGCAUCAGGUAACAUCAAAUCGUACCCCAAACCGACACAGGUGGUCAGGUAGAGAAUACCAAGGCGCUUGAGAGAACUCGGGUGAAGGAACUAGGCAAAAUGGUGCCGUAACUUCGGGAGAAGGCACGCUGAUAUGUAGGUGAAGUCCCUCGCGGAUGGAGCUGAAAUCAGUCGAAGAUACCAGCUGGCUGCAACUGUUUAUUAAAAACACAGCACUGUGCAAACACGAAAGUGGACGUAUACGGUGUGACGCCUGCCCGGUGCCGGAAGGUUAAUUGAUGGGGUCAGCGCAAGCGAAGCUCUUGAUCGAAGCCCCGGUAAACGGCGGCCGUAACUAUAACGGUCCUAAGGUAGCGAAAUUCCUUGUCGGGUAAGUUCCGACCUGCACGAAUGGCGUAAUGAUGGCCAGGCUGUCUCCACCCGAGACUCAGUGAAAUUGAACUCGCUGUGAAGAUGCAGUGUACCCGCGGCAAGACGGAAAGACCCCGUGAACCUUUACUAUAGCUUGACACUGAACAUUGAGCCUUGAUGUGUAGGAUAGGUGGGAGGCUUUGAAGUGUGGACGCCAGUCUGCAUGGAGCCGACCUUGAAAUACCACCCUUUAAUGUUUGAUGUUCUAACGUUGACCCGUAAUCCGGGUUGCGGACAGUGUCUGGUGGGUAGUUUGACUGGGGCGGUCUCCUCCUAAAGAGUAACGGAGGAGCACGAAGGUUGGCUAAUCCUGGUCGGACAUCAGGAGGUUAGUGCAAUGGCAUAAGCCAGCUUGACUGCGAGCGUGACGGCGCGAGCAGGUGCGAAAGCAGGUCAUAGUGAUCCGGUGGUUCUGAAUGGAAGGGCCAUCGCUCAACGGAUAAAAGGUACUCCGGGGAUAACAGGCUGAUACCGCCCAAGAGUUCAUAUCGACGGCGGUGUUUGGCACCUCGAUGUCGGCUCAUCACAUCCUGGGGCUGAAGUAGGUCCCAAGGGUAUGGCUGUUCGCCAUUUAAAGUGGUACGCGAGCUGGGUUUAGAACGUCGUGAGACAGUUCGGUCCCUAUCUGCCGUGGGCGCUGGAGAACUGAGGGGGGCUGCUCCUAGUACGAGAGGACCGGAGUGGACGCAUCACUGGUGUUCGGGUUGUCAUGCCAAUGGCACUGCCCGGUAGCUAAAUGCGGAAGAGAUAAGUGCUGAAAGCAUCUAAGCACGAAACUUGCCCCGAGAUGAGUUCUCCCUGACUCCUUGAGAGUCCUGAAGGAACGUUGAAGACGACGACGUUGAUAGGCCGGGUGUGUAAGCGCAGCGAUGCGUUGAGCUAACCGGUACUAAUGAACCGUGAGGCUUAACCUUACAACGCCGAAGCUGUU
rnacentral:rRNA from 1 species